rnacentral:lncRNA from 1 species
GAAUUGCUUGAUUAGGCUAAUACCGUCUAGAGAUAAGGGGUAGGAUGAUCAAUUGUAUUUUGCUUCCGCUUAUCAUGCAUUUCUAGUUACUAGGGGAGGCUAGAGAUAGUAAGCCAGUAAUUAGUAAUAGGCUAUUUUCGCCAAGAGAUUGGGUUUAGGGUAGACUAAGAAAGUUUGCAUGACAAUAUGAUAAAUAAGCGAAUUAAAUAAGAAGAGUAGAUAUAAGAGGGUGAUUGGGAGGAAUAUGAACCCUAGCAA